GAUGAACGCUGGCGGCGUGCCUAAUACAUGCAAGUCGAGCGAACAGACGAGGAGCUUGCUCCUCUGACGUUAGCGGCGGACGGGUGAGUAACACGUGGAUAACCUACCUAUAAGACUGGGAUAACUUCGGGAAACCGGAGCUAAUACCGGAUAAUAUAUUGAACCGCAUGGUUCAAUAGUGAAAGACGGUUUUGCUGUCACUUAUAGAUGGAUCCGCGCCGCAUUAGCUAGUUGGUAAGGUAACGGCUUACCAAGGCAACGAUGCGUAGCCGACCUGAGAGGGGGAUCGGCCACACUGGAACUGAGACACGGUCCAGACUCCUACGGGAGGCAGCAGUAGGGAAUCUGCCGCAAUGGGCGAAAGCUUGACGGAGCAACGCCGCGUGAGUGAUGAAGGUCUUCGGAUCGUAAAACUCUGUUAUUAGGGAAGAACAAAUGUGUAAGUAACUAUGCACGUCUUGACGGUACCUAAUCAGAAAGCCACGGCUAACUACGU
rnacentral:rRNA from 1 species